rnacentral:rRNA from 1 species
GUCGAGAAUAUUCCACAAUGGACGAAAGUCUGAUGGAGCGACACCGCGUGCGAGAUGAAGGCCUUAGGGUCGUAAAUCGCUUUUAUUAGGGAACAAUGUAAUGAGUGUACCUAAAGAAUAAGAGGUUACUAACUCUGUGCCAGCAGUAGCGGUAAUACAGAGACCUCAAGCGUUAUCCGGAUUUAUUGGGCGUAAAGAGUAUGUAGGUGGAUAUAUUAGUCGUAAGUUAAAUUUUCAAGCUUAACUUGGAAUCUGUUUACGAAACGGUAUAUCUAGAGAAAGUGAGAGAUGAUUGGAACUCAUGGUGUAGUAGUGAAAUGCGUUGAUAUCAUGGGGAACACCAAAGGCGAAAGCAGAUCAUUAGCACUUUUCUGACACUGAGAUACGAAAGCGUGGGUAUCGAAUGGGAUUAGAUACCCGAGUAGUCC